rnacentral:rRNA from 1 species
UACGUAGGGUGCGAGCGUUGUCCGGAAUUAUUGGGCGUAAAGGGCUCGUAGGCGGUCUGUCGCGUCGGGAGUGAAAACUCAGGGCUUAACCCUGAGCCUGCUUCCGAUACGGGCAGACUAGAGGUAUGCAGGGGAGAACGGAAUUCCUGGUGUAGCGGUGGAAUGCGCAGAUAUCAGGAGGAACACCGGUGGCGAAGGCGGUUCUCUGGGCAUUACCUGACGCUGAGGAGCGAAGGUGUGGGGAGCGAACAGG